GGGGCUCCUAGAAUCCACUCUCCCCAAAGGCGAGUUUCCCAGAGGAAAUGACAUUUGAAGAGAGACUAAAGGAUGAGAAAGAGACAGCCUUCCUGGAAGAGGAAACAGCAAAUGCAAAAACUCUGAGUUAGGAAAGAACUUGAUGCACUUGAGAAACAAAAAGAAGGCCGGCAAGACUGAAAUCCACAUAAGUCAGACCCGGGCACAGCAAACUGGACGUCCUCAGUAUAUAUGUGGCAACUGAAACCAGGCAUUUAGGACAUGAUCUCAUUCUGUUGCCCAGGGUGAGUGCAGUGGCACCUUCAUGGCUCAUUGCAGUCUCGAUCUCCCAGGCUCAAGCGAUCCUCCCACCUCAGCCUCCCAAAGUGCUGGGAUUGCAGGCGUGAGCCACCUUGCCCAGCCCAUUCUGCAAUCUUCGGAAGGAAGUCACUAUAUGCAGCCUAUGCUUGAGGAGUGGGGGGUUGAAUUCCACAUCCUUGAGGGUAGAAUACCUAAAUAAAUUAUUUGGAAUUCUUCU
rnacentral:antisense_RNA from 1 species